GACUUAUGACAGCUGCAUUAUGACACUCUGUGGGUGAUGGCUAAUAAUGCUGGAAACCUGGGGAUCAUGCACAGCUUGCAGGCAGCCCAGGGGAGGUCGGAAGUGUCUUUCAAGCCACUCACUACCUCCUCCAGUCAGACUGCCCUGUCUUGUCUGGUCCAGACAGCUUGACUGUGUCUGCUUCAUGGCUGUUCUGAUCAUCUUCUGUGCAGCUCAGCUUGUCUGACAGUGUCAGCAGUCCUUACUGAUUAUACAUAUGCUCAUGAGGGUUUCUCUGUGCAUAUAUCUCAGACAGAAAAUUAAUGGGCCAUAGGUGACCAGUGGAAAAUCCUCUGUCUGUUCCUGUCUUGCCCAGAAACUCAAGAGUCUUGGAGAGUCCCACCCCCUGAGUCCCUGUUAAUGGCCAAUGUUUCAGCCUUCAUCAUCAAGCAAUACUUCCGGCCCCAAUGUACUUUUCCACUAGGUCACUGCACACACUACAAAGACUAUAAAAGCCGACCCUCCACUCAGCCCUCUGAUGCCUCAUGACUUACAGUGGCAACCACUGUUCUGUGGUGUCUCCAUUAAAUCUGU